AGCUCCAAGAGCGUAUAUUAAAGUUGUUGCAGUUAAAAAGCUCGUAGUUGGAUUUCUGGUACAAUGCGCCUGGCCCGCGGCAGUAAUGCCUGUGAGUGCCGGUGCGCGUUGACCAUCCUUCUAGAAAACGUUUCUACCAUUUACUUGGAUGGAUUCGCGAUCUAGAUCUUUUACUUUGAAAAAAUUAGAGUGUUCAAAGCAGGCUAUUGCUGUGAAUACAUUAGCAUGGAAUAAUAAUCUAGGACUUCGGUUCUAUUUUGUUGGUUUCUAGAAUUGAAGUAAUGAUUGAUAGGGAUAGUUGGGGGUGCUAGUAUUGGCCGGCCAGAGGUGAAAUUCUUGGAUUCGGUCAAGACUAACUUAUGCGAAAGCAUUCACCAAGGAUGUCUUCUUUAAUCAAGAA
rnacentral:rRNA from 1 species